GAAUGGAAAUGUAUGUUGCCUUCUUGGUUGGAUCUCCCCUCAUGAGUGAAGCACAGAUUUGGGAUGAGCUUGCCCUCCACGUCCGGAAUAACGAAACACAACUACAUUUAGGGAGACGAAUGCCAAAGAUAGUAACCUGUUCAUAUACCAGGCUGCAUGCUGGGUCAGUCAUCUGCCUAUGGUGAAACAGAGGGGAGCCAUGGAAUGGAUCGUUACCAACUUGGAUUCUUGGGAUCAAACACAGAUAUUCAAAGGAGACUUCCUGGCUAAACACUUUACAAAAAUAGAUUUACAAAAAACAAGGGAAAAAAAAAACAACAACAACGAAAACACAAGUA
rnacentral:lncRNA from 1 species